rnacentral:piRNA from 2 species
UAGCAGUAUUCUCCUGACUGGCUGCUGGGU